rnacentral:lncRNA from 1 species
UAACAUGAUUGGUGGACUUUUUACUUGAGCGUGAGUUUUGGUGUUUGAUGUUUUCGGGGUAAUAGAUUGUAGGUUGAAGGGAAUAUUAGGGUGGAGGGAAUCAUAUCGAGGACAAAUGGUGAAAACUGUUAAUUUCUAAGGCAGUGCAAAGUGAGCAACUAUUCUGGAUGAAAUAAUGAAAUGAUCAUGCCUGAACCUUAGGGUUACUACAACAAGUAGAUCACUGAGUAGGAUUUAUGUGGGCUUAUCGUUGCAGUUACAGUGACCAGAAAUUUUGUAUGGUGCAUGUUCUAUGUUGCAGCAAUUUAUGUAUGAUCUCUUAUGCUUAUAUUCGACAGGUAAGAAUGGUUGGCGUGUGGAGCUUUCUCACAACUCAAAGGAUGGCGGGCGAGGUGGACGUUCUCGGGGUGGGGGUGGGGGUGGGGGUGGAGGUGGAGACAUGAAGUGUUACGAAUGUGGCGAGCCAGGUCAUUUUGCUCGUGAGUGCCGACUGCGGAUUGGUCCUGGAGGUAUGGGAAGUGGACGGCGUCGAAGCCCCAGCCCGAGGUAUCGAAGAAGCCCUAGUUACGGUCGCAGGUAAAGAUGUUGCAGUCUUGACUUUAUUUCUUUUUCCCCCCUUGUCAAUAAGGAUAAGUUUUGAAGCCAUCAUUGAAGAAUUCAGACCCACUAUGUGACAUCUUUUUUAUUUUUUAAAACGUUUCUGCCCUAUUUUGUUUCCUUGUUGAGACUUAUUUAAGUACUCUUAUUAUUUUUGUAGGAGCUAUAGUCCACGGGAUAAAAAGUCACCUCGCCGCCGCAGCUAUUCUCCUCGCCGUGGUCGUAGCGACAGCCGGUCACCACCUUAUCGCCGUGACUCUCCUUAUGCUAAUGGGUAUGCAUCUCUUAUUAUUUAGUUCCUUAUUCCUUGACUAUUUAUGCACACUCACAGUGUUGCCUUUCUUUUCAUUGGUUAAGUCAAUUUCAUUGCUGAGCUCAUUAAGUCCUCUUUUCAGGGAUCGUCGUCGGAGCCGGAGCUGAAAAAUGUCAUAACAACAAGGCCUCAAGAUGAUUGCAACAGGUUGUUAGACUACUGAAGUACGGGUUUUGAUUAGUAGUUGGCUUCAACAAACUUGGUAAAGUGCAAACUGUGGAGCUCUUGAACUCCUCAGGGGACACUCCUCAGCUUAUUGUCGUGUCUAAAGAGGUUACUCCUCUACUUCAUUACUUUUCGUUUAGACUCUUAACUAAAAAUGUUCAGUACUAUUAUCUUUGCUUAGCAGAUUUCAACUAUAUGCUUUGCUUUUAAUUAAUAACUGUUAGUCACGAACUUCUUACAAAGACCUUCAAUCUGUUGUUUGUUUUCGAGGUGCGGUUCUGCUAAACGCUGAAACGGCACCCACUUCAGAUCUGCUCCUUAUGUGGCACGGGUCUCCCACACUCUGCCUCUUGAUCAUCUAUUUCGCGAUCCGUCAUGCUUUACACCUCUGCUUGAUUCAUCUGCAAAACUCUCGAAAAAAAGCAAUCCGUAGCAUAUAUGAACCGUCUCGAUUCUCUACUCAGCCUGCGAGAAAAUCUCUGGCGUCAUGCUUAGGUAUUAGAGCCUCUAGUUUACUGCUUCAAGGAGAGGAAGCUGGUAGCCUCAUCUGGUAUUCCGGAUUGCACCACGAACAAUCUUGCUAUCAGUCCACUACCAUGAUCGCCUCUAAAUGAGCAAAUAGGGUGUCAGCAAAAAUUUAGGGGUUUGAUAAGUGGGAAGGUGAUGAUGUCUUCUUUAACUUUGCUUGAUUCACCUGCGAACUGUUCUGAUUCCCGCCUCAACCUGCGAGAGAAUUUCUUGCUUCAAAGCUUUAGGUUUAGAGUAUCUAUUCACCACGUCAAGGAAAGUUGGUUCCUUCCAUCUCAUUCUUCUGGAUUUGCCUCAACGAGUCAUCUCGCCAUCAGUCUUUGCUUUCGCGAUCGGCUUCAGAUGAGAAAUAGAGGGGUAAUUUGCAAGCUUUAAAAUACUAAUAGUUGGCUUGAUAUGUCAUCUGAGUUUUACCUUUUGUUUUUACCUUUUUUUGUGGCCGCGAUGCAUUCAAGCAAAAAUUUGACAUUUUUUUCAUCAAGAACCUAAAGCAAUCAUGUUGAAAUUACAGUCUUACUCCAUUUUUUUGCUCACUAAAUUUUGUUGUUCAAAGUUUGUUGCCCUAUGUGUUUCUAUAGUCGUGGAAAACCAACUCUGAAAAGCUUUCCAUACUUGUUGCUUACCUUCGUAAUAGUAUUUAUCAAGUUCUUGUGGUUUGAUGAAUGUUAUUUGUGAGUGGUUCCGACAUCAUUUUAUGCUUUUUUGUCUCUGUAUGUCGAUCGCCUGUUUGGAUCGGCGUCUCGAAUAGCUUCUCUCCUGUGAGAACUAACACUGAGGCUAAAAUGAGCUUGAGCUUUUGGAAUGUCUCUCUCUGUGAUGUGCGCAUACACAAAAUGCGCAAGGCCUCGGCCGCAAUCGGCCUUAGGCGCAGCAUUUAAGCAGGGUAAAUGUGCUCCAAAGCGGAAGCGCUUGCGGGAAAAGCACUUGUAGAUGGAUAUCCUUUAACCAAAGCAUCAAAAGACCAGAGUAUUAGGAGCCGAUACCAUCAUCACUAUUUGGAGUUGAGAUGUAUACAUGGUUCAGCAUGCAUAACAUGAUACUGUGAACAAAUUGCACAUCAGUUUCUUCCUGCCUACUUUGUUCACUUCAAUUAAUGCAAGUAUCCCUGCUCGAAUGCAUACAAUGUUUGAUGUGUACACUGUUAAAUAGAAAAACUCACAUACUAACGGUACGAGAUUCAACUAUACUAACUGCGUAGCUCUCGUGAUCUGUCGUCGAGAUUUUGAGCGCUUCCUCUAACGUCGUGACGACCUGCUCCAUCGACGGCCGCUGCUGUUUGUGGCCCGUGCAUGCGAUCGCAAGCUUGAGGGUGAGAUCGAAAGCCUCUAUUGGGUACUCUCCUCUUAGCUUUGGAUCUGCGAAUUCGGAGAUGUCGCCUCCUUUGGUGAGAACCUUAGCCUGAUCACCAAAAAGCAUAAUGUUGCUGAGCAUAAACUACACAAAAACGUCAUAAUGUGUAAACUUAUUCAUCGGCGCAUUCAAAGAGUCAGGCCAAACAUGCGCAGAGACUACAUAAAAAAGAAAAAAAAGACGAUUCUCUAUCAGCUUAAGCUUUUAGUUGAAUCGGUGGUUUUGACACAUUCCACAAGAUGUUUAUUGGUUGUAAAUGAAAAAAGCCUGAGUACAAGUCAUGAACUCACCAUUUUAUCCAAAGACAUUGGCCUUCUCACGUUCAUGUUGAUCACCCUCUUACCUGAAAGGAUCUGCAAGAGUACUAUCCCAAAACUGUACACAUCUCCCGCCGCAUUCACGCGGUGGUUCUGACGGUAUUCAGGAUCGACAUAGCCGAAAGUUCCUCGGACCUCGGAGCUAACAUGAGACACACCCUUGUCUAUAACCUUCGAUAGGCCGAAGUCCGAUAACUUUGCUUCAAAGUUGACUCCAAGAAGGAUAUUGGUUGGCUGGAGCAGCAGAACAUGUCAGAUGUUAGAGAUCCAUGCAGCUUCAUGGCAGGUAAAGCAAACAAUCUUUUACUUUUUGGCUAUGAAAUUGCAAUGAACCUUAAUAUCACGAUGAACGAUGCAGCCGCCCGGAUAUAUGUGAAGAAACCAAAGGCCACAAGCGCUACCGAGAGCGAUUUGAAGCCGCUGAACCCAUGAGAGGGUUUUAUCCUUCCCUGUCAUGUCGCCAACUUCUUAGUAUCUCAAAAGUUCGAUGCAUCACCGCACGAUAGGUUUCUGAAAGAGAGAUUACCGAAUAGCCACUCCGAUAGAUUGCCAUUGACGCACAGCUCGUACACGAGGAAACGUUCAUCUUCUUCUUCGCAGUAGCCUCGCAGCGUCACGAGAUUCGGGUGCUUAACGUGCGAGAGGCUAGUCACUUCUCUCAUGAACGUCUCUGCGUCUUCGUCCUUGAUUAUGUGCUUAACUGCAACAUGCCAACCAUUUGCUAGCACACCUUUGUACACCUUUCCUGGUAGUUAUAGAAGAACGAAGAAAUAUCGUAAAGUUGUAUAUAUCCCUGCAAAAUCAUUAUUUAUGUGUGUACCCCUUGUAAGUUCUAAAUAUGCGACCGAAUAUCCCUCGAAAGAGCGUCUUAAGCUGUGCAUGGCUCUAUUUUACAGGACUUUUCAUAACGAAGGGCGCUAUUGCGAGUACUAGAAAAUAUGAUGUAAAUGUCUCUUUUUGAAAUGCUGAGUUUGAGCCUCUUGUUAGCUUCUGAGUUCAGAGGUAUCCUAAUGACAUUGAAACAUAAAAUUUCUUCGUCGUUGGUUACAUUCGAGGUUCAUGAUUUGCACGAGUCUUAAGAGUUACUGUAUCAUACGAGAAGAGAUUAUAUUUUAACCAGUUUUUCGCGUAUAUAAGCAUAAUUUGUCAAUUUAGGAGGUCCCAAGUUUCUGAUUACCUGCAAUUCCCUGGCCAAUAAAGUUUAAGGGACUAAGGUUGUCUGUGGCAGCAUAUAUAUCCUUAAUGGACAUCUUCUUACAAGUGGAUUCCUCACAUACUGACUCUUGAGAAACUGCAAAAGCCACAUUAAAUUGACAUACUACACUACAUCAUUAGAAGUUCAGCAAAUAUAAUCAUUUAAAUCAUUUAAAGUAUUGUGAAUUCAACUAAUCAUAAGUACCAUUAACUUGCUCUGAGGAUUUCAAUUUCCUUCUGCUUCUCGAAAAGAGCCACAAUGAAAUAAGCGCGAUAAUCGCAAGCAAAAAGAGGGAACAGGCCAACACCCAUAACCCUGUAUUGGGUUAAAAAAUAUGUUUGGUAGUAUGAAAUUUGAUCAAGUUACAAUGGAACUCAUAUGAGAAGCAUGAAAAAGAUAUGAGUUGCAAAUUACUGACCUGUAGUUAACAUUGUUUAUGUUGUAGUAUUAACUGUUUAAGUUCUGCAUAUAAAGAGAGGGUAAAAAAAAGGGAGAAAUGUCAAUUACCUUUUAAUGAACAAAUAGAAGAAAAUAUCAAUCCAUAAAAUUAGUCACUAAUCACAAUAAUGAUGAUUUAUGUAUGGAUCAUAUUGAAGCAUAAAAUGAAUGAUUAAACCGUCACAAGGUGAAUAGUUAUAGUAAAGAAAAAAAAAAAAGAUCGGUCAUCGACCAUGGGCGAAUAAACAUGAAGAUAAUGGAUAUCUACACCAAAAAUUUGUUUAAAGCGGAUUAAAUUUCAGAGAUUAGGUACCUUAAUGGGCAUGUUAUUGUCUCCUUCCUCUAAGCAUAAUUUCACUAAGAAGGAUCUCAAUCCUAUUAGAGAAAAUGGGUAUUUCUUGUUUAUGUCUCUAGCAUCACAGCAAUGAGAAGAGCUGUUAACUUUUUGCUUGCCUUUUUUGGGGGAUUAUUUGAAGGGAAAAAAGAUGAUUGGAGAGUUUGUGUUUGGACGAAUUGCUUUAAAGAGUUAUUGCAGAAUAAAAGAAUGGCUACGGCCGGCCAAUUAAUUAAUUAAUUAAUUGUUUUGGACAGGUAAGCUUCAGAGACUAAUAAGGAACUGUGCAUGUGAGAGUGGGUUUACUAUGCUUGUGUUUUGGUUGAUGCAUUUGGAGUGUAAGGACAAGUAAGAGGGAGGAGGAGACAAUUGUGGAGCUAUGAAGAGAGGAAUAAGUAAAUAGUUUAUGCUUAGAACAAGAAAAGAUUAUUCCCUCCCCCAAUAUUAAGUUACUAACUAAUUGUUCUUGUCGAAUCGAAGAAUUGAGGAAGCCUCCAAAUUAGUCAUUCUACAGUAGGCAGAGCUUGAAUCAUGCACAUAAUUUAAAACAUCACAAAUUUUGCCGACGCAUUAACAGAUCCUGGAACAGUCUUCAGAGUAAUAAAAGAGAAUGCUGGGCAUAAAGUGAUUCUAUCGCAGUUAAUAGUGAGGGCCAAAAUUAAACCUGAUUUCACUCAAAACUGUGAAAGAAGAUGACACUCAUGUAGGUUUGCUCAUCGAAUACAUUACAGCCCUAAAAUCAUCAAACACUACACAAAUAGUUCUUGUUCUUGCGAAUGUACACCUGAUACAAUUUGAUCAGCACCUCCACCCACAAAUGAAUUUAGUACUGCCAUUUUAAGCUAAGCCGCCGACAACUGAAAUGCGCGUAAUAAAGAACAAAUGUGAAUAUGAUGAGAACUUGCUUAUCAAACAACCUGCAAUAAUUUUUUGUUCACUAUUGGGACGCCAGGACUACACCUCAGAGUUUUAAGGACGCAAAAACACACUAUAUUGCACAUGUUUAUCCUCAUUGCAUCCUCAUGGCAUCGCAAGGCUUCAUCUGUAAUGCGGAAUAACUUCUUCGACGGCUACGCAACUCAACGAAGAUAAACACGGUAAAGAGGGCUUCUUUAAGCACCGGAAAAAUAAACACCUUCUUGAGCAAUCAACAAAUAAAAUAACACUCGGAAAAUAUUUAACCACCUCUUCGUUCCCGCAAGCAAGAACAAUUCUUUCAUUUCCGUAAAACCUUUUCCACAGCAGCACUCUGAGAGACUGAGAGACUCUACAAGAAACAAAUAAAACAAAAGAAAGAAAAUGGUAACACGUUUAUCUGAUUAUACAAGCCAUCUUAGUUCAAGUGAAAACCAUUUUCUGAUCAACCAAGCUGCAUUAAUGCAAUAGUUUACCUGACAAAGGUGAUCAAAAAGUGAUCGGUCGUUGUUCGACAAGUUUGAAAAGAAGGCUGUUAGAAAAUCCACUAGCUUGAUCUGUCAAAUGAAUAUUCUGCCUUAGUACUUAAAAAAACAUAUACCUACUGAUUCAUGCAUCAAAAGAUGUAGUUUGAGAGCAAACCUCGUUAAGCGGAUCAAUUUUUGUAAGAUCAUCAUCAUAACUAUCAUCCUCACCCUGUGCAGAAUUCAAAGUUAAGCAACAAUAUGUAACUUGGUAGGUCGGUGAAUGCAUCUCUAUGUAUUGUUCCCAUGUAGCAUGGAAACGUAAAAGAGAAGGGAGACUUAUCUUUAUACCUUGCAAAAUCAUCUUUCUACAUAUAUAUUACCUGGAAUAUCUGAAUUUUAAACUUGAUAUUGUAUAGUAAAGAGUUUUCUAAGAAAGCACUAUUUUCUUUAGAUAUCUAAGGAUAUAUGUGAGAAAUCAAGUUUUUCAAGAGUCAGGAGAAAAUCCAGAUUUUGCAGGCAUCAAUAUGCAAAAUUGAUAAUUUCAAAUGAGCAUAUAUGCAAAUAUCUCUAAUAAAAAUUAACAAAUUGUUUAAACCAAUUAUAAUCCUCACCUCAUCAAACACUUUUGCCAUGGCAUCAAGGUGUUCAACUGAAGGGCCAACAUUCGAUGGUACUGUCGAUGAGUAUAUAAUAUCCUGGGGAAGACCACCAUCGCUGUUGGAAACUUCUUCCCAGUCGCUAUCCUGUCAUUAAUAUUAGUGCAACGCAAGAAAUAUUAGACUAAAACAUAUUCUCAUUACUUUCGAAAGUUCUAAAUCAAAAAACUAAACUAGGGUUACACAACCUCAUUGUCGUCAUCUUCAUCCAAGACUUGUUCUUGAAUCUCAGCUAAUGUAUCUGCUAACAAGCUAAAGAUCUGCAGGGUCCAUGAUAAAGUAUUUGUCUAAAAGCCAAAGAACUACGAUAAAAAGGCUCCAAAAUAAGUUCACUAGUAAAUCUGUGAAGAAAGGUUAUCUCAACAUUUUCCCAAUAGUUGUUUAAGCAGGAUCUCUGUUCAAGAAACUAGCACUCGAAACUGUGUCAUGUAAUUUCUAACAGAAAUCUAAGAGCAGAAAUUUUUUCAGCCAGAAGUCUUGUUGUUUGGUUUUUGGUAAUGUUUAGAGGAAAAAUACAAAAAGAUCUAGAAAUUAUACUAAAAUUCAACUUUACUCAGAGUUUGUAUCCGAGAUACUAGAAACUCCGAACAUAUAUAGUACCUUUGCUGGUAAUGGAAUCAAUGUCCACUGAUCAGGUGCAAAUUUAGCUUUUGAACGAGUUUUUAUACCUGCAUCGGACUGGAGAUGCAGCCAAAAGAUAAGGUCUAGGAAAUAAAACUAUCAGAAAAAGAAUAGCCAUAAGUUGCAUGUACCAAGCUUAAACAAACCUUAAUUAGAUGGCCCUGAACACUAAUUUUCGCUAGCUCCUCAUUACGAGUGGACAGCAGAAGUGCCAAUGCAGUGGUUGUAACUUUUAUCUGGUAUGCACCCUGUACUUCACCUACGCUCAAGUAUAACAACAAAAAUGUUAAGAAACAGGAAAACAAUUUGUCCUUAUGUAUAUUGCUAAAACAAAAAAGAAUCUACUAAUACGUCUUUAGACUAGAAAACAGAGCCAAAAAUUUAUCAUAAUAGAAAAGGCUUACCCUGUAGUUUAGUCCAUUCCGACAUCACAUACGUGAGGGAAUUGCCAUAACCAUUUGCAGGAAUAUUAAGCAUUAGAUUAAUGAACUGGUUGACAUCUGCAGCACUCAAAUGUACCUGCAUGUACCAAUUCCUUGAUUAAAAUUGAACUCAUCCAAACCUUUUGGUUCAAUUGAAAAGGUCUAUUUUCUGAUAUGUUGUUACUUCCCAACAACUUUGCAUGCGGUAAGUCUAGAAUUUAUCAAAUAACAAGAAUGCACAGAGCCAAGAGUGGGAAAUAAUGGAAAUUAAAGAGUAAUGCAACAAAAGAACAUCUCACAAAGAACUUACGAGUCUAGCAAGGAUAACAACCAGGGAGCUUUUCAACCCGGCUAUUUCACAAGAUUGCAUACGUCUUACAAUAGCAGCAAUAAGCUCCCGUGUGUGCGGAGACAUUUCUGACGGAUAAUGUAAAAUCAGUUGCAGUAUAUAACUUCCAACAAAAAGUGACCCGGAACUUUCCAGAUUGGGAUCUAGAAGCCUGCAGAAAUAAAAUUCAAGAACUAUAAGAGAAUAAGAAAAAAGGAAUGUAUAAUUAGUACAUAAAAAUUUCGAAAACACAUCUGACUGUUGCCAACGUCAUAGUUAAUCAAGUUUUACAUAAACCUUGUUCUGUUCGUUGUAUAAAUUAGGUGCACAGUAAUUAGUCUUUUCUUAUUAUGUUAACAAGACUCUGAACAAGAAAAUAAAACUCGUAUGAGAUUUUAAAGACCACUAAUACCACUUGCACUUAAGGGUGAUUAUCAGCAAAAUCCUACAUGCUUGUGUCAGUACAUAGCUAAAUUUUCAGUAGAUGACAAGAGGAAAUCUGAUUAAAAAAAGAUACAACUAUUUAGCGCCAAAUGCUUCAUUUCCAUAUUAUUAGUAUGAAAUAUAUAAGUAAUGAAAAAUCUACCGAGAAGCCACAUCAAGUAGCUUUUUCAUAGUAUGUCCUGGGUCACCUUCCCAUGAAAGUAACUCUUGUCUUCCCCCAGAUAAAAUUGCAGCCAAACAUUCAGUUGCAUUCUGAUGAAUAAAAGUAUUUAGAUAGUGUGAUGAAUUUAGCAAACAGUUUGAAUAUUCACUAACAUAAAAUGGCUGAGUAAUUAAAAGAAACUUACCUGCAUCUCUCCAUGAUCAUCACUUUCAAGGAUAAUUUGGAUGGUGGUAUUAAAGCAUGUCUCAAAUACGGCCUUCACUACAUCAGCUGGGGCAUUCUGAAAAUUGAUUAAGUUAAAAUUAACAGAAAGGAAGUUGACAAAGAAAGCAUCAUUCGGCCCAAAAUAUGCAAACAUACUUUUAGUAUCAUAGUCAAAAGGUCCAAUGAGCCAGCAACCAACCCAAUCGGCUGCAACUUGGGCUGAUGCAUUCAAAAAGAUAAAGGGUCAAAAUUUCAAAUUAAUAGAGUAGUAUAACUUUCUAAACUGAAAGCCAACAUCUCUAUGCAAGAAAACAGACACCUUUUCCAGUAUGGAUCCAAUAGUAGGUAAAAUCCGAGACACCAAUGGCCGUAUACACCCUGGAGCAUUCUUAAUAGCCUGGGAAGCUAAAGAAACCAUGUCAAGUAAUGUUUAGGUAAUGGACGCUACAUUACAACUUGGAACAGGGAUUAUACAUAAAUAAAAUGAAUCUGCUCAAGCUUUGAGACAGAGAAAGGGUUCACAGAAUUAGCACAAUUAAUUAUUUCUAUAGAAAAAUAUUGGCAAAAUUGAUUGAGAGAAAAACAGCUAAACAUCAAAAUAUUUUUCGAAAAAAAUUUAAAUCAAUUCAGCCAAAUCAAUACAGAGCAGUAUUCUCUGAAAUAAUAGAUUCAUAUCCACGUAAUUUUAUCAAUAGCAUUAAUAACUUAAUGUGCACUUUGAUGUUAAUGGAUCUCAUGUUGCAUGCAUAUUAACUGUAUAAAAGAAUGUGAUAGAUAUGGAUGAAAAACAAACCUCUAGGACUUCCACAGCGUCAAUACUGAUAAAUGGAUCCGAAACAUGUUGGGCCCAAACAUUAAGUAUGAUAGGAGAGAUGAUUGGCUCAAUGGAUGUUGACUGACUAUGACCUAAAAGUCAUGAAAUAGUCAAGUACAUUACUAGUAUUACGAGUAUCAAUAAGAUAAAAGCACUUAAACAAUAGACUAACCAGCCUUGACAGCAGCUUGAAGGGUUUCUAGUACAAGAUGUAGUGUUUCAUCAGAUGCCUGCAGUGGAAAAGCAUAGGUAACACUGAUACUGAUAUUUUAGAAAGCAAAUCAAUAGUGUUCAGCUUCUUAAACUGCGGUUACCUGCCUUAGAAGAUCCACAAGAGACAAAAGUAAACCCAUGAUAUGAGGCUGAAUAACAUCUUGCUUAGAUUCAGGCAAUAGUUGGGAUAGUGCUUUACAAGCACCAACUUUAACUGGUGGUGGUCUGCCAAUGAAACAUAGAACAAGUCAAAUAUGCCUGGAAGCUUUUCCAAAUUAUAUGAACAAAAGUAUUAUGAGAAAAACUUCUCGCUUACACAUCUGAAGCUAUUGCUUGGACAGCACCGUAUAGGAAUUGUUCACUAGUUCUCUGAUUAAUCUAAAAUGUUCCCCAAAAUUGAAAUAGUUAGGCAUUAUAAAGACUACAGAAGUAAUGACAAGAGGAAGAAAAACAAUGCCACGUACCAGUGACCUGAACUUGGACACUAUGAAAAAUACACGUGCGUGAAGAAAUGGACAUUCAUGUACCCCUGGAAACAAUAAAAUUAGCAAAUAGCAAUUUUACGAAAUGAAAAUAAAAGCUUAGAUGACAGGAGAAAAAAAAGACUUGCCUGUUCCCAUAUCUUCGGUAAUCAUCUGCUCAAUCAAGUUUCCCAAAUCACAAUAAAUCACUCCUGAAGCCUGAUAAAAUAGUCAGGGGAAAAAUGGUUGACAGUUCAAUACAUUAACCUAUGAUAAAUUGGCAUUAUGACUAUACUUGCAAUAGCACAAAAAAAAAAAAAAAAAAAAAAAAAAAAAAACUAGAGGCAACAACAUGCUGAUUCAAAAGUCAAAACCAACCUUUGCUUCAAGCAACUGUUCCGAAAUAGAAGCAAAAGCAAAAAGAGUCGCUUCACGGAGCUGCCAUAAUAAUGUUUGCAAGUUAGAUAUAACAAUGUUUGCAAGUUAAAAGAUCAUGCUGUUAUCAACUUUUCAAACUGCCACUCUAAACCCACAUUAAUGUGAAAAUAAUUGUUAUUUUCAAUCUAUUGUGUCUAAUGUGUUUCAGCUUAUUACCAGAUUAGCUGCCUAGAUAAAUGGAAACACCUAUGUAUUUUAUUACCAUAUAAUCAUGCUAAUUAUGUUCAUGAAAAUAUAAGCACAAUUAGCAUAAUGCAGACAAUAAAGUGAAUAAAGAGAUUCAAUAUAAUAUAAUCAAGAUUAUGAUAUAAACGAUCUAAAUAACAAAAAAUGAUUGCCUAUGAUUGCCAUGUUGGUGCAUUCUUAGAUUCUAGUAAUUCAUUAGAAAUAUCUCUUCAUUACUUUUCUUCACAUAUUAAUAACUUUUUAUCAUAUCAAUUUCCAAAGCAAUUUGGAAUAUUUAUCUGAAAUUACUGUAGCAAUGAAUUGACCAAGAUGGAAAAUCAUCCUUUACAUCACAAAACUCUAGAAAUAAAAAAUUUCAGUACUCAUUGUGAAAAAAUGUGCUAAACAUUGAUGUAGCCCCUGAAGAAAAACAUUUAACCAUACAACAGAGGAAACAAAGAAUAAAAGAAAGAGAUCUAAAACAUGCUCUAAUAAGAUGCCAAAAAACAUCUGCAUAUUGACUCCAGUCUACUGCUGGGAACUCGAUUUACUUACUUUCCACCAAUCUGCAGAACCAGCAACUUUUGCUUCACGCGACUCAUGAAAACGAUUUUGAGAAGCAACAAUUAUAGCAUCAAUUCCCUCUUCACCAUAGGCAUUAAUUAUCUCUUCCAGAAGUAGACAUCCUGAGAGAAGGAUUGCCCAUUAAGCAUUCUCAAAACCAAAUGUAGUUUAUCAACACACCUUAAUCCAAAGUCAUAAGAAAUAAAUAUAAGGGCAAACAUAGUAGACUAAUCUUAUAUCAUAAUAUAAAGAGUAUGUACCAGAUACACGACAACUGUAAGUAACGUCAUCCUCAUCAGCAACAUACUGAUUAGCAUCAAGCGACCAGGUGCGGACCUGCCAUGCAGAGAAAAUAGCAAAAAUGAGAAUAUUAAAUAUUUGAAACCACGAAUUAAACUAAACCAAGUUUUGCAUGACUAGGACCUUGAUGAAGAAGAUUAUGAAUCACAAGUAAAAUCAACCAAAAGAAAAGUAACAUACUUGUUCCUCAGUCAUCUGCUGGAAAGCUAUUGUGUAAUAGACUAGCUCCUUGAUGUUCCCUCCGACGAGCUGCAAAAUUUGAACCCAAAGAUAUUUGUCCAAUGUAAAUAACAGCAAUUCUCGACUGUAGAACAAUGCUAGUAUUAUUGUCUUAUUGAUUGAGCAACAUACCUCGGCCAACCUAGCAUUCCCCACCAUGGUUAUCAAAAACUCCAAUAACUAGGAACAAACAUAAUUAUGCCAGUGAAGAAUAUGAUAUUUAAGCCUUAAAAACAAAUGGAAAGUAAAAAGUUCAUAAAACAUAUUUAAGCAGCUAAGUUGUUGAGCAUACAACCAUAUAUACAGUCAAUACUCUGCACCUCACUCAAUGCCUCAAAUUGAUUUCCAAUUAGCCAUCCAAUUAGUCAGUAGUCUUUCAUACCAGUUAGAAUUUCAAACUUUUGAUCAUACUAGAAAACUAAUAACAUUUUGGCACAGUUAUCUAAAAUUAAAAGAAAAUUUAUCUUAUAUACAAGGCAAAAUAUUCAUGGCAAAAAUGUGCCAAUUAAAUAAUUCUACUGCAAAAUUCAUGGUUUAACACCUUUGAACAAAAUUUAAGAAUUUUGAGCUCAUCAUUUUUGUGGAUACAAAAUCAAAGCUUUCGCUAUUACUUUUCUUUUUCCGGAAUCUUAUAUUGUGACCCAGUUUCCUUAAGCAUGAAAUCAUAAUCUGAAUCACCUCACUCUAUAAGCAAGAUAUCUUAAUUUGCCUUCAGUUUGUAACAGUCCUUUCUCUAAAACUUCAGUUUCGUCCACUCCUCUUUUUCAACCUACUUAUCUCAACUUAGAUAUGAACACAGAUAUUUAGUAAGAUAGACUAAAUAUGAGACGAAAUUUUUCUGAAUUGCCAUUGCAUAAUAUGAUGUGCCUCCAAGAAAACAAGUUAUUUGGCCCUUGAGAGCAUUUGCGUGCUUUUGCAUCACAUUUGAUAUGCCUGGUUAAAAUGCUAUUGUAGUCCCAAGAUCUAAUAGCAGCAAAGUUUGUUACCAACUGAACCUUUAAAACUCUGUGCUGAAUAAAUGAAGGCUCUUUUAAUGUCCCAGGACAGAACUGAACUAUAAAAAAAAAAGAUUAAUGUGGACAAUUGAUUGAGACAUGGAAGAAUAAUGUGAAGUCAUCGAUCUUCUUGUUGUUACACAACAUCGUCACUCCUUUUGUUGUUUCAAUAUCUUUUUUUUUUUCCUAUUGACAUUCGCAGAACAGGUUUCAAGCAGAGUUAUUAAACUGACAUAGAUAAAUGAAAUUUAUUUCUAGAAAGAGAGUUAGUACCUGAAUGACAAAGGACUCAAGACUUUUUUCACCACCAUCAGAAUCAUAUCUCACGGCAUGAGAAUCUUCGCCACCUUCGAUGCAUGCUUUUUGAUAGACUUUGAGGGAAGAAACAAAAGUCUGCCACAAAGGUGGAAGAAUGACUGGACCAAAAGUGGAAGUUACUUUUCAGGAAAGUAUGAAUGGCAGAGCAAAAACAUGACUACGAGUAUGUAUUGAGGAUAAUAAUUAGAAGUUGUAUACAUGCCAGAAAAUUGCGUUACAGGCAGGCUUGGGAUGUUUUGGACAGACUGGAGUAAACAUUUGAGCACCUAGUGAUAAAAAGAACAGUACAAUCAAAAAUAUGAUUUCUUUUUUAAUCUAAAAAUUCGGCAUGUUGAAAAAUUGAUAUACCUCCAUUCUAAUGCUCCAGUCAUCUGGUUCUUCCGAUUGCACUGGAGAUUGUAAGAUUACAGAAAAUUGCUCCAUUAAUGAACUGAACAUAGGCAUCAUCAAACUGCUAGUUUCUGCCUACAACACCGAACUCAUAAAACAGUUUUGAGAGAACAGCAACAGAAAAAUCCGAGAGAAAUUAACAAAGGAGGAGGAAACAGGAAAUAGGUUACCUUAUAAACACCACUCAUUGAACCCAACACAGAGAUACAAGAAUGAACUAUUGAAAGUGCCUUUGCGCGCAGAGAAUUUUCAUACAGCUGGAUUUACAAAAUUAUAUGGUAGAAUUAGUAGAUGAAAUUAGACUAAGAUCAAAAGCUAAUUUGUUUCCUUGCAAAUUGCAAAAAGAACAUCUAAUAAGCCAAAAGAUACAGAUGAAACAUGAAAGCAUCUAAACUCACGUGAGGAGAUGAUAUAAUUGUGUGCAAGUGUGGGAACAGACUGGGAACUAAUUUUGGAACCACCGUGUCAUCCAGAUCAGAAGAGAGAAGCGCCAGACAUCUUAAGGCUCCAUGAACUGCAUUUAUUCACCAAGAAAGGACUAGAAAUAAUACCAUGAAAUAAGUGAAAUUAUUAAAAGAUCUCAAUGUAGUAUGCAUUUGUUGAGGAGAUACUACAUUCAAGAAUAAUUCCCAAUACUUACAAUAACAAUCAAGACUUUACCUCCAUCUCUGUUGCCCCUGUCACUAAUAAGAUUCAAGAGAAAGGGUAAUAAUUCUGGCCAGCCCUCUGGCCAAUCAUAUUGUGCAAUGGAUGCUAUUCCCAUGCCAAUAGCUGUUCGGAUUUUGCGGUGAGGGUCGUUCAAUGAUGGAAGCAGAAGUUGGCGUAUGACAACCUGAUAAUAUGUACUACUUCAGUUCGAAAAGAGCCUUUUUGCAAGCAUGGCGGAGAUAGUACUAGCAUUCUAAAAUUAACACACGAAGUUAGAUAUCUAACAUUCUCAGAACAGAAAGGCACAAACUCAGAUGGUUUAGUGCAGUAGUUUUGCUGAUACAAAAAGCACUAUGGCCAUUUCAAUCUAUGCAGGAAAUUUUUUUAAAAAAAAAGGGGAAGGAAAAAAUCCAUCUAUUUUGAGAUAAAAUAAUUCCGUGUAAAAAAUAAGGUAAUCAAAGGAGACCUUUUCUGGAGGAGAAACAACAGGGUGAACAAAAUUCUCCUCAUCCUCCUGCCAAUGCUCCUUUAUGAACUGCUUUAACAAGACAGCUGCCAGGUACUGAACGUUAAGUACAACAAUCAAGAGACUUUCAGCACUCAAAUAUGAAAAUAUCACACAGCUUUUAGCUCGGCAAACGAAACAAGCACACAUGAACACACAUGCACAUACAGACAUCAGCGUGCACGCACAUGCACUCAUGUGCAUACGCACACCUCCCCACAGACUCAUGCAUGCAAGCUCACACGAAUGCCUGAACCACCUGCCUGCAUGAAUGCACACAGACAAGAAAACACUUUUAUGAAUUUGUUAGCGCCUAUCGGAUCAGUUUACUCAAAUAGCGGACUGUAUAUUUCCGAGAAAGGAUAUCUGCCGUAGCCCAAAUGGGUUCUCCUUGUUGACAGUGGUCAUGGUAAGAGCAGCCCCGAAUCCUUAAAACAAUCCAAUAAAAAGAAAUACAGCUUAUCAGCUAUAAUCACACAAUAGAAUUUCAAUAGUUAAACGAAUGCCGUUCAAUAAGAACUUUCCACAUUGACUACUAAUAGAGCCAAAAAAUCUAGACCCCUACACUCUAUUCAUGGUAAAAGUUCAAACUCUAUUUAAUUCAUACUUGCAAAGAAGUAUAUAACAACAGAAAUCAAACAAAUUUGCCGAAUAAAACAGAUGAUCGCCAACUUGGGCGCGGGCGCUAUACAGAGCACACAGAAUUAGCCCAGCAUUGCAAUUCUCGCAAAUGCUCAAAGACCUCAUACCCGAACACACCACAAAGCAUAAAAUUUGGAUCCCGAGAUCGCUCUUAAUUGGACAAAUCACCAUUACCGUUACCCCCACAAACUACGAAGAGCGAGCGAAAAAGGAAAUGGUCGGGGAGAUGCAGACGAAGCAAGCAACCUGGUUGAAGCGAAGCUUGCUUCAACGAUGCCUCGGCGAAGGACCUGAUCUCGCGGUUGGUGUCGAGCGUCGCCAUGAGGCACUCCACGAGCCAUUUCUGGUCCUGGUCGACCGACGCCUCCAUCGAGAGGAAACCCUAGUGCGAGGAUGCCGAAGAAGAAGAAGAAGACGAUGAUCUGAGCUCUAGGGCUUCGUUCGCUAUGCGAUGGCGAUUCGGGAGCGAACGGGGAGAGAGAGAGAGAGAGAGAGAGAGAGGGGAUUCGAUCGAAGGGGAGCUUCGAUUCUUUUGCUUUUUUUUUUAAUUAAUUUAAUUGAGAGCGGCGAUGGUGAAGGGUUUUAGGGUUUUUAUAGGAGCCGAGGGAUUUGAGCGCGCGGGUUCGUGAGCCUUGCACAGUACAAGCUAUUCCCUGCACCCGGUUCAUCCGUACGACGUGAAUCGGCAAUCUCUUAGCCGUCGAUCCAUCACUUAUUUUUCAAUCUAUCACGGAUGGACGGCCUACAGGCGCAAGAUGAACGGACGCACGAUGAACCGGGUUCACAUAAUAACAUCUUACCAAGACCCUUACAUGGGCUUUCGACAUGGGCUUUCAUAACAUAAGCCUAGUUAUUUAGGUUCAAAUACACCAAUAGGCCCACAAGGAAAUCACAUUUUUGAAAUAAGCCCUUAAUGGGCGUGGACCAAAAUGUGCAUCCAAAUAAUUAAUACAUCUGGUCCAGUAGUAACAUUUCCAAUUUGGGCCGUAAAUGGGCCUAAUAAGAAUGGGCUACAUAUAAGCUGGGCCUUGACUCUCUUUUUUCGACUCGGGGCGACCACUAUUCAUUAUUCAGUUCAAACCGAAUUACCGAACCAAACGGCUCACUUUAGUUGACUCGAUUUGGCUUUAUUCGUAACUCGACUUAUAGUUUAGUUUCUCGAGCUCGCGAAUUGGGAAUGAAUUGGAGAUUAGGUGAUGAUCAAACAAUCAGAGUGUUUGAUCACCACCAUCGUCGAAAGAACGAAGAAUUUCUUUUUUAUCAAAAUGUGAAAUUCAAUCGUCUAAGAAAUAUGUUUCUCGAAAUGGUUUUGGUGCAAAACUCCAGCUGCAGCCGAAACUCCGAGUUAUAUUCUAUGCCAAAGUCAUUAUCUUUCCUCAACAAUUACGUGAUUUGUGCCGACACCGUCGAUGGUGAUUAAUGACUUAAGGUCUAAGAAUUGGAAGCAACCAUUCAUUGAUGUGCAUGGUACUUCAAAAGAAGAAAAAAGUGGCCAUUAAUUUAAUUGCUAAAGAUGCUCAUUCAAUGUAUUAAUCAUCAACGCUCUUAAUCGUUCGUUCGAUCGAGAGCGAAAAAAGAGCUUCUAUUUAGAAUUCGCCCAUAGAAUGCUGUUACGUACUUUCGAGACAAGAUGUGAAAGACAUCUUAUGAUUGUAAGGACAACACGAUUUGAACGAAGGUCCAAUUUGGCUUAGCACAGAAGUGUUGUUUAAGUUACCAGCAAUUAAUGACUAAGAGUUGUCUUCUUCUUCUUCUUUUUAAUGAGUCUCUUCAAAAAAUACUUAUACCUAUUAGAAAAGUAGAAGGUUUAAAUUGGAUCAUUUGCUUUUGAGAUUGCUCAGUUUAACCUUCCGCCUACAAUAAAAGAUUAAAAGCUUUUGGCUAGCCAAAUAUCUGAUUUCUAAAAGUGAGUUAGGCUUCUAUGCUUUUGAAAUAUGAAGGCCUUCGUACUUAUAAAUUAUUUUUAAUGAUAUGAUAUUUGAUUCGACAAUCGGUUACAUUAGAUAUGAUCUAUUAUGUUGGAAUUAUCUAGAAAUCAAAUUUCAUAAUUUUUUUUUUACUUUGUUUUCGUAAACGAGUAGUCUCAAAAUAAACAGCUAAAAAUAAUGAUCCUGUAAAAAACUGUGACAAAAGACUUAAAUUUUAAAUUGAAGAUAUUGAUCUUGCUCUAAUGGUAAGUAAAUUUUUUUAUUAAAAUUUCACAUAAUUUGGAUUGUUCUAAACUAUUGAACUCACAAACGUGUUACAUCGGCCAUUAAAAUAAUCAUUUUUUGAGUCCCUUAGAUCACUUGGUAAAUAAUAUUGUAAAAUUAUAAAAUUUAAUUUUUAAAUAGUUCUGAUAGCAUAAGUGAUGCUAACAAAACUAAUCAUCGAAUAAGAUAUCAUAUCAUAAAAUAUAAAGCACGCAUAGAUGCCUCCCUGCUUUCGAGAGUACAAGAGACGUACUCUCUGAAAGUUUUAAAAAUUGACCCAAUUAAUGGACACAAAAAUUUAGCCUACUUUUUUGUGUGCAAAGUUUACCAUAUGAAACCUCUAUUAGAGGACAAUGUUGCCUAACAAUUACUUUCUAAAUCUCCUUUUCUCAAAAUAUCCUAUUAUUACAACGCAUAGAAGCUUUCCACUUCUACCUUUAGAAGAAUCUAAAAGCCCACAAUAGAAGGGGUGUCUCACCAAACACUUUAUGUGACACUACAUGAUUAAGAUUCCACAUUUAUAGUUUUAUAAGCAAUGUGAUUACACCAAGAAAACAAUAAUCUACUCGCUAAACAAAGCGAAAAAAGGUGAAAGGGCGAUAUCGUGCCGCGAUUUCGUCUACCAAGUGGGCAUAACAAACCAUGGUCGAAAUUGUAGGAGAGUGUUUGUGUGUGAUAAAGUAAUGGAUCUUUUGUUUUACAGAUCAUUAAGUAAUGGAUUGAGAGCGGUACUUAAAGAUCACUAAAGGAGAACAGCUUGCAUUGUGCACUAAAAAGAUUAGAAAGGGUAGAUCUCAAAGAACAGCUGCAAUUAUGAGCCUAAGAUUAGACAAGAAGUGCUCAAAAGCAUUUAUUCAAAGGUAACCUACACCAACCCCAAAGCCGACCUUAAAAGCAUUGUUUUUAAAGGAGAACAUAAACCUAAAAGUGUUUCUUUGACCACUCACUCCCUACUUUUAACUAUUUAAAUUACCAUGGUGUGCAUGUGGCAUUAGAAACAACCAUUUUAGCCACAUGAGACACUUAAAAAUGUGUUAUUUAGGUGAUUAUUAACAAUAAACCCAAAAGUGUUUCUUUGACCACUCACCACUUUUAACUAUUUAAAUUACCAUGCUGUGCAUGUGUCAUUGGACAAUACCAUCUUAGCAUCAUGAGACACUUGUAUGUGUGAUUAAUAGGUGAUUAUUAUCACACUCUCUAGUUGUUUCUGGAGUCCCACACCUACUAGUAUAAAUUUCUUGUACAUAUAUAGUAAACAAGGAUUGUAGAAAACAUUGAUUGAUAAUGUGAAUCCAAGCAUGAUAAUGUGAGCUAUAUAUAUAUAUAUGUCCUAAGUGAUUUGAUUUAGAUGUUCCUUAAAGUUCAUAUAUAGAAAAGAGAGGCACAUAAUUGCUUACUGUGACUCUUAAUUUGUCCACAAUUAAACUCAUUGGGUAAUUAACUUGGGGGGUGCAUAACAUUUCAAAACUACAAUAAUGAGAAAGCAAACACCAUUUUACCCUGAAUAAGAAUCUUACAAGAACUUGACCACCUUGCUAGAGCCCUAGAAAGCACAGGAAAGAGCUGGAACAAUAUAUAUAAAUAUAUGAAGCUAAUUAAGCAUAAUAAAAGAAUAGCCAUAGGGGGCUCAAGCUCAAAAAGCAAGGGCCAUAAAACCAUCCAAUAUUUGUAUUUUACUAAUGCUGGUUUUACUAUAUGGCACCUCUAGCUACCAUCCUUUAGCCCCACAUAAAAAAGGAUCAAAUCCCGACCGUCGGAUUGUGUCUUGAUGGUAGAAGAAUAUAGAAAGAUUCCUAACAAAUCCUUUGUGGUGCAUUGCUUUGUGGUGUUCUCUCUAUAAAUUCACUAGUUGUGUUCUCUCUUCCUUUCAUCAAGAGUGCAACUUCUAAGUACACUCUCUCUCAACAACAACAACAACAACAACACAAGGUACAUAGAUAUAUAUCCAUGGGAGGGAGCCAAUCCUCCUUUUGCUUCUUGUUUAGCUUCUCCAAGAACUCGCGCAGCGUUGACAAAGACAGUGAUUGGGAGCCUCGGUACGUGAGGAAGAUAAGGCCAAGCGACGAGGAUAUAGGGAUGACGUGGGUCGGAGAGCACGAUAUCGACUCGAAGGCCUCAGACCUCAUUGCUAGGUUCCACGAAAGGCUCUACGAGAAGCUUUGAUUAUUCCAUGAAGUGUAGAUUAUUAGUAUAAGCAGUGUUCAUCACUUGUUAUAUGAUUUCAUGCAGUAUUGGUUUUCAUUUUCUCCGUUUGUGCGAUUUUCGUUUGUUUCACUAUGAGAAUAAUAAUGUACGAGAUGUUUUUUCUAAUAAAGCCUUGUUUUUUAAUACUCUUAGAACUGUUCAAAGUUCUUCAAAGUUCAAACUUCAAUAUAUAGUGAAAUAAUCACCAUCACACGGAGGGGAAAAAAAAGAAAAAAGAAGAAUAUAUCGAUAUUUCGAAUCAUCCAUCGCAUAUGUUUAGUUGGUGUCAUGGUGAUGUUUCUUCGGUUUCUUUUUGUUUUCGCUUUUGCAAGUAAGGGUUAAGAUAAAAUUGCCAAGUUCUACAACUUAAUCACAGGAGACUCUCUCUUCAAUACUUUUCUGGAUCUCCUCAGUAUAUAUAUUGAUUAUAGGUUUGUUAUUUUAUGAACAAAAGUAUGGUCUUUUUCUUUUUUUCUUUAGAUUAAGGUGAUCUAAAAAUCUUACUUCCUUCAUGAUGUAUAAGUACCUAAACAAUGCAUAAGAACUUCAACAUGAAAGGACAAAAGGAACAGCAUAUUUGGACCUCUAAUUAUUAUGUUACAUGCCAUUAAUUUUUGGAAAUCAACCCUUCUGUUGGUAUUGACUUUUAAAUAGAAUUAAUCCAAAAAUAUAUAUAUGAUUAGCUAUAUCAUUAUGUAAUGUAUAUCUACCGCUGCGGCACCGAUUUCUUAGAAAGAUACAACAAGUGCUUCUGAGCCUGGGUACUCUCUCUAAGCAGCAAGAGAGUUUACAUUUUAUGCAUACUUUCAUAUCUUUUCUCGUCCUUUGUUUUGGUUAAUUGCUUAUGUGCUUAUGUAAAUCUCCUUUAAGGAGUGUCCUCUUUUUUGGCAUUUUGCGCAUUUUGACCUGCUUUUUUGUAGAUCAUUUCUAAUCAACUUCUUUUGCAAUUAUAGCAACAAUUUAGCAUGAAAAUAAGGAUUUUGAGCAUUAAUUAUUAUUUCAUUUCAUCUUCUUGUAGAUGAACACUUCUUAGCUUCUUAAUAAAGAUGUAUAUGAGCUUAACAUGGAGUUACCUCGCAUGCAUAUCUGCUGGAAAUAAAUCUCUCGAAUCUUUUAGUAAAUUUUUUUUUAAACAAUUUUAAAUGGAAAUAAUAUAACUGUAGUUUUUAAAAGUCACGUACAAGAAUUAAGUGGUAAAUACUAUAGAGAAGACAAGAUCAGAUGAGGCAUGUGAGUCGAGACAUGCUAAGCACUAUCAUAGAAGCGAGAUUAAUUAUCUCUCCAAGUGCGAGACUCCGACAAUCACUCCCAGCAAUACAACGACCACCGUCCACCUCGCCGGUACGUUUUUAGGGUGGUGGAGCACGAACCUAGCGAGCUCAGAGAUCCAGCAAAGAAGAAGAAGGAAUAUAAAGUUUAGUGUAAAAGAAGCCUUUUUGCAAGUUUCAGCUAAAAACUCGUGUCACCACAGUGCACCUCUCCUCUCCUCUCCUCUCUUCUAUACAUAGAUAGGAGACAACGGUGGGGUCCAACGGCUCUUCGGCUCUUUCUCAAAUAAGCCGUUGGCCCUUAUCGAGGUGCUGGAUACGGGAUCUUACUGAGAUAGGGUAAGAUCUAGGUAAAAGACUUUACUGAGGUAAGGUAAUGAUUAAGCUUCAAAUACAAAAUCUCAAAAAAUAAAAUUAAAAAAAGGUUAAGUGAACCAGAUAGCCUGGACCGCCCACCCGACCCGGCUCGUGCUCGUGCCGAGCGUGUGUUUAGUUGAAAGUAUCACUCUUAUAUUCUCUGAAGCAACUAAUUUGAGAACGAAGGAGUAUAUAAGAUGCAACCAUUAACUUUCAGUUUUUAAUGUGGAAUUAAUCCUCUCAUGUAGAAACUUAAGCAUAGGCACCUAGACAAGCCCAUAAAAAGUUGGGCUGCCCAAGAAGCCCAUGGGCAUAAUUGAGGUUUUAAAUCACUGAAAUUAUAUUAAUACUAACAAUAUCUACAUAAACAGGAUUAAUAAGUGCAACUAGUUAAUGAAACUUCUUAGAACAAAUAACAAUAAGUAGGUGGACUGGAUGCAUGAUCGCAAAUUCACGUUCCACUGAUUUUUCUUAAUUCCUCUAAAUUCUUGAUGAAGUUUCAGGGAUAAUUCAACUAAUUAUCACCUAAUUAAUUAAAAAAAAAAGUUCCUUGUUAACAGUUGAUCUUUUUCUUUCUUCCCUAUUACCUUAUUACAGAAAUGGGAUGUUUAGUUGACCUGGGAGAAGUAUAAUUAUUCCAUGAGAAACAGUUUACAAAAUGUAUUCCCCUAAUUCUUUGGUCACACAACCAUUACUCUUGUGUUUAUAACAUAUUAAAACUUACAUAUUGACAAAGUAAAAUGCUUAUUACAAUACAUGCCACAAGAAGGAUCCUAAAAAGAUAAAACAAAAGAAAAAGAAUUACUUACUCCCAUUUGGUUCUGAACUUAAUAAGAUGCCUAAAAUCAAAAGUCAAAGCCAAGCUCCCAUCCACCCUCUUGAGAACAUACCUCUCCACCAAGAUAUAGCAAGCAAACCUCCUCCACAUAUUAUUCUCUCCUCCAAAUUCCCUCACAAUCCUCUCCACCUCUUCAUCUUCAUCAUCACCAAUCCAUCCUCCCUUCUUUUGCUCCCAUAUCAUUCUCUCCCGUAUAGCCAAGCUCAACCCAACACCCUUCGGUUUCGAUUCAAAAGGCGCAAACCAUAUGAAACCAUCGCGGCGGCGCUUGUUAUCUUGUCCCACUUCUUUACCAUCUACAAAAACGGCUUUGCUCUCGACGAGCGCGUUCACCUCCACCGUUCUCUCUUCGCCGCUGUUGUUCUCGCACGUGUAAAUCUCCUUCCAAAAUUGCUCGAGAGUCAUCUCGUAAUAUAAGGCGCGCUUCAUUUGAACAUCCAAACCGCCUGCUUCCUUAACAAACACAAAUGGGCAAUACCAUUUACCGAUAGUAACUUUCGGACAAUCUCGUGCGUGUAUCGGGAAGUUUAAAUCGGGUAAACAUGAACGAAGGGGUUGCCUAAGCCCCAAGGCCUCACUUAAGUGACAAUUCUUCGGUUUCGAAGCAUAAGCUUUCCAAUACUUGCUUCCUAGUAACCAUGGAGGUUGGCCAUCGUGAGCUACCGACUUGGCGGUGAAUAAUCCUUCUUUCUCACACACAAUUUCCAUUUGUUGGUGUACGUCGCGAUGAUCAAAAGGUCUUGGUUUCACGUCUCCUUCCCCGCGGCAUGAGCAACAUGCACCGAUGCCCUCUUUAGAGCACACAUAUACUUUCCUGCAAUUCCAUGUGAAGAAUAGAAUUCAUUGAUCAGCAAACAACUUCAUAGAUUGGCAAUUAGCAGAAUCAAAUCAAAUCAAAUCAAACUCACCCCUUAUUUCUUCCUUUUGCAAUGAUAACAUGGUAUCGGUUAAAUGACGCCGACGAUGGUUGAUUUAAGACUGGCACGAAGAAGACUGUCGCCUUAUUAGCCCUUUUAAUAUUCUUUUCACCUCGUGGGGAGUAUUUGAUGGUGAUGAUCCUAUCUUGAGGGAAUGGAAGAUUCUUGAGGGGUUCCUUCACGUUUUUCGCCCAGCAGCAAGAGGAUGAUAAGAUGUUGAACUCGCUCUGGUCGUCGAGAAAAAGGGAGCCCGAGAAUGGCUCUUCGGAUCGCCGCUCGCCAUGAGAUCCCCUGAAGGUGGAGAGGGGCCUGGUGGUAUACAUUUUCUGAUUCUUGCAGCUCUUUUCUGAAGGAUGCUGGUGUUAUGUAGAUGUAGCCCUGCAGAGGAAGAAGAAUAAUGCAGAAUGUUCAGAACUGCUGAAUUAGAGAGAGACCAUAAAUUGCUAUGAAGUUUGGUUUGACUGUGGAAACUUGGAAUGGUGGAUAAUUGACUUCAAUUUUCUACAAUAGUUCCAGAGGUUUACCAGUACAAUAGUUUAGAAUCUAAGAAUCUUCUUCCACAGAGGUCCAAAUAUUGCUACAAGGCUGAUAAGAUAAAAAUAUCUGAAAGGUCAAUAUGUAAGGAGCUUACCUAAACUGUAGCCCAUUUUGAAAUAGGUAGCUAAAUUUUGGAAGUUCUAAUUUUGUUAACAAACCUUCUAGAAAAGGUACUUAAACUUCAUUUUUCGGCAUUUUAGUUUUUUUUUUUAACAUAAUAUUACAUCAAGUAACAUAAUAUUCUGUCAGAUUACAAAAUAUGCUGUCGUAAGGUUAGGUAGAAAAAUCAUAACCUUCAAGGUUUGGGUACCUGCUUCAAAAACACCAUAGGUAUAGACAGUGAGAUUAAAGAAUCUGAAAUUCAGGACCAAUUUCAAAAUGCGCCAUAGUUCAGGAUAUCCAACAUGAGCUAGAGCUCAUGAAAGGUUUAUAUAUUUCAAACUAUUUCAAAAUGAGCUAUAGUUAAAGCCUAGGGUUAAAUAUAUCCAACAUUACAAGCCAAUCCCAAGGACACAUUGUAGCUGCAAUUUAGACAGCAGCCAGGGUUUGAGUUACAAAUGACAGAAAAAUAUGACUCAAUCAAAUUAUCAUACUCAAGAGUCUCAGACUUCUCUUUCGAGAACUAAAAAGUAGUCAAAACAAUUUGCACAGGUUUGCUUCUGAUCUUCAAGCUUGUUCUGAACUUCUCCUUGUAGUCAGCUUCUCCAGUUGUCACAUUGUCUUCAUUUGUUUUUAUUAGACACCUCGAUGAGAAGGCUUUUGCUCGAAUCAACUUAAUCUGCUGUUCCAAGGACCGUAUUUACUGAUACCCGGAGAACCUUCAAUUUUAGUGUUUCAGUAAAUAUUCCUGUGAAAUUUGAUACUGCAUUUCUCAAGGUUGGUCUUUCGUAGUAAAUCCGCAUCCUACCUGCAAGGAGAAAAAUCAAUGUACAGUUCUGCAAUUCAUGGUCUAGAGAACAAGUAUUGCUGAUUCAAACUUGUAAUUUGACUCAAAAGUUAAGGACUAACAAGCAUAGGAAUGUAAUACCUCACCAAGCCUCUUGUCAGCUUAAAGUAUGGUAGCCCAUAAGACCUUGCAAACCAUCUCCUUUUCCGCCAUUUCUUCCUGCAAAAGUAGGAAACCAUGGAAAUAGUUCCGCAAGGCCUUUGCUUUCAGCUUUAGGACCUAAUGGUCGGCCAUUAACCCCAAACUUCUCCCGUUCGAUUGCAUCCAUAAUGUCUUCGCGGGUCACCGUCUUACCACCUGAACAGCAGAAAAUUUUAAUACAAUUUCUUCAAAUAACAACUAUAUUUCUUAUUUAUAUAGAAGGUAUCACAAUAUAAUACGAAGUAGUGAUUUUUAAUAUGUAUCCCAUAAGUUAUCAUAGCAGUUGUACAAACAUAUUUGUCCAACAGCGGAAUUUUCAUAAUGCAGGUCCAAAACUAGAUUUCUUGAGAAUAUACACCAAUACCGACGAAUACAGCCAUCUCAAAACUUCUAUUAGUACAAAACCACAUCCUCUUCACGAAUUGGAUAACCUGCAAACUUAAGAUGACAGUAUUUUUGCAAGAAACUCUACUUUUGAGGGGCAUAAAUGAGAUUUUAGAUUUUUGACAGGGGAAUAUCCUCUGGGGUAUAGCUGUAGAAGCACUAGGAAGUAGGAAGUGAAAUAGUAAAAUAACUAAUUCUGAACAAGCAAAUUAUUCUAACAUGACAUGAAACUCACCCCUUCGAGCAGCAAGAAGAGCAGCCUCAUUGACAAUGUUGGCAAGAUCGGCCCCUACAAAUCCUGGGGUGAGAGAAGCAAUUAAAUUGCAAAUUAUCUCAGGCUCCUCCUCCAAAGGAACUCUUCUUAGAUGAACACUUAGAAUCUUUUUACGCCCUUCUUGAUCAGGCUCUCCAACUAAAACCUUUCUUGAAAACCGACCUGGUCGACAGAGAGCAGAAUCUAAUGCCUCUGGUCUAUUGGUCGCCCCGAUAACAAUCACUUUCGCCUCAGACUCAAACCCAUCCAUUUCAGUGAGUAACUGGAGGAAAGUAUACCAACUCAUGCUUAAAAUUUAUAACAUUUUUACGUGUCUACCUGUAAAAUUAUGUAUAAAUUCCCGCAAAAUUGUAAUUUCCACAUAUACCCUCGAAAGGAAUAACUUCUACAUAUCAACCACUAGACUUACCAAAAAAUCACAAACAAACAAAAAAAACCACCUCUUAAAAAAGAUCCAUUGCCCCCCAUGAAUUAGAUGACUCCCCAACUUCAGAAAAAUAUUUUGGAAAUAACUGCAGUUUUGAGGAUACAUAUGUGUAAGUGUGUAAAUUCAGUUUUGAUAGGUCGUACAUGUAAAUAGAUGAUUUUGCAAGAAUAUAUAUGGAAAAGUCCGAAUAAGAACAAAAUUAAAAGUUUAGAACAGUGCCUGGUUAAGGGUUUGAUCUCUCUCAUCAUUAAAGCUUCUACCACGCUUCCCUCCCACCGCAUCAAGCUCAUCAAUGAAGAUAAUCGAUGGUGCGAAUUCUUUCGCCUCUCUAAAAAGCUCUCUCACACGUGCCGCUCCUCUUCCAACAAAGACUUCAACAAAUUCACUAGCAGAAAUGGAGAAGAAAGGAAUCCCAGCUUCUCCUGCCACUGCACGAGCUAGUAAAGUUUUUCCAGUUCCUGGAGGGCCCACAAGAAGCACGCCCCUUGGCAAUGUUGCUCCCAGCUUCUUGUAGUUUAUCGAUCCUUGCAAGCAACUUACAAUCUAAAAAAGAACAGCAUCAUCAUUAUGAAGAACAAAGAGUAUAAUUUUAGAAAUGAACAAGCUCUUGACAUGAAAACGAGAGAGAGGCAGUAGCACGCUCUAGGACUCUGAUCAAAGAGAUCAUAUUUUCCUAGUUUUUACAUAAUAACAUCCACUAAAGAAAGAUACUACAAAAUAUAAAAGGUUGCUUAAAAUACGUGACUUGCGAAUUGCAAACUUCAAUUUGUUUUGAUGAACAACUUGAAUGCUCAAAUACAUAUCAAACACCUUAGCUAUGUUUCUCUGAUGGGUUUUGGUUAUUGAAGUAAUUUCAAUAACACAUUUCUCCAUAACCCAAUAAACAAUAAUGAUGCAGAACGAAGCAUACGACCAGGACAGUAUGAAUACCCAACAAUUUUUGAGGUGUACAUUCCAUGGCAUUUUAUUCAGAAAUCAGUGGGUAUAAUCAGCAGAUGUGCCAGAAAAGAUUGUAAUCCCAUAGAUUUGAAUAUAUCAUUAAAAGAAAUACUACUUUAUCGCUCCUCUCAAAUGGCUGCUACACCAUUAUAGACCUCCUAAUUAAGCAGGAACUAAGUUUGUUGCCAUCCUGUUUAGAAACUUUUAUGAUGUAACUUAAAACUUAAAAGUUAGCCACUAAGUAAGUACCAUAAAUUUAAGCAGUAAGAGAAUGUAAAAUUCACCUCCACAAGCUCCUCCUUGGCAGCAUCAACACCCUCCACAUCAUCAAAACUGACCAUUUGCUUACUAGGACGCCGCUUUCUCGCUGCAUUAUUCCCUGCAUAAAGCUGGCGCUGAAGAAACCAUACUAAAGGAACUAAAGAAAUCCACAAAGUAAGCAGUGUGGUCACGAUGCUCAUCAAUAAUUUCGAUCCAGAUUGAGGAGCGGACCCAUAAGUGAUUCCUUUCUCUCUCAUCAAACCAAGUAGGAAGUUCUCGUCAUGGUCGAUCUUUCUCGCGUAGUACCGCCACUUCGGUUUUGAACUUGUCCUCAAAGUGGAAACUUUACCAUUUUCACUCUCAACCGUCGACUUUGAACCAUCCUCCUCAUUAGAAUAUCCGUUGAAGUAUAUACGGCGAGAGUCCUCCUCAAAAAGAACUGAAGAUACCUGUCCUCUUUGAAGAUUCAAUACCAAAUCCGAAUAGGGAACCUCUUUUGAAGGAUUCUUCGAAGUGGACUUCAAUACCAAGAAAAACAAUCCCAAAGCAAAAGGAAUCAACGUGGCAGGACUAAUCUUUCUCCCAAUUCCCCUCAGCGUAGUCUGAGCAUCCUCAAUAAGCCCACUAAUGGACACUCUUCUCCAUCUAUAAUAAAGAAUCCGAAGCCGCGGUCUCAACCUAAGCGAAAACCGUCGUUUCCGCGAACUGGGUUUCCCCUGAAUCCCCAAAUGGGUAUGUUUCUCCUUCCCACCCCUAUCAAUCUCUGCUACAACUACCCUACAACAUUGCUUCCUAACACUGUAUCGGUUUCUACAACAAAAACCCACCAAAGGUGGAAGCUUUGAACUAGGGCAAGAGAGAUGAGACGAAGAAGAGAGGAUUCUACUCCUCCCAAAGCUAGGAAAAGCGUUUACUACACCAUUUAAGCGAGAGCUACGAGGAAUCACUACGCCAUUAGCAGAGAUCAAAGAGAAAAGAGCCAUGUCGAUUUACUACACCAAAAUCCGCAUCAAUUUGAAUCAAAUCAAAAAUUGGAGAACAAAGGAGUCGCCUUUUCACCUCAACCCAUCGAAUCUCGGGCACAAAGGUAUCCUUUGAGAGAGAAAUCGAUAUAGUAAUGCUUCAAAAAGCUCCCAAAGUUCGAUUAGGGUAAAAAUUUGUACCUUGCGAGGCGAUCCUUUCUCUCCUACGUUAGGAGAGAGAGAGAGAAAGAGAGAGAGAGAUUUGGUGUUAUCUCGAACGCUUAUCCAUCGAGAGCGAGAGAGCGAGAGAGAAACAAAGAGAGAGGAUGCUGCGGAGAAAAUAGAAGGAAAAAAAAAAGAAAAAAGAAAAAAGAAAUAUGGGCCACAAUAGGUUCAUUGAUAUUAUUUGGGCCCAUAUUAGGCCCAAAAUAAUAAUGGGCUUAUAUUGGGCCCAAACUAGGCCUAUAAUGGUUUUCUAUUAACUGGGCCGGGAUUAUGUGGACUCGGUUCGGUCCAUGCAAACCGGGCUUUUCGAAAAAACGGUUCGGGCCGGUACUUUCCGUUUCACGAAAAGUGUUGCUUGCGCCCAGUGUACAUGUGCGCUUCAUACACCGCCCGUGAUAUUUGAUGAUUAAUUGGUGUGUUAGAAAUAAAGGUACGAAUUAAAAUUUAUUUAUUUUGAAAACCAACUAUGCCUAAGAAUCAAAUAAUUAGAAAAAUAUGUUUAUCACUAUUUUAAAUGUCAUAAAAUAUAUUUAAUGAGGAGCAAUACUAGAAUAUUUAUAAGAAGUAAACUAAACUAAGAAAUAUUCUGAAUCGAUAAUCCGCACCAUUAAAUAUAAAUCAGUUCAUAUCUAUAUUUUUUUAAAUCAAAUUUCAUAGUUUGUUGACAAUCACUUAUUCAUUAAUUAGGUGGUUUCAAAUUUACUUUGUAUUAGCCAUUAGAAAUUAUCAUUUGAAUAUCAGAUAAAUAAUUUGAAUGGCUCGUCGUAAAAAUAACGCACAAGUUAAAAGAGACUAUUUAUUUCUAUAUAUAAGUAAUCUAGCUAGCUUAAUUAGCUCUUCCAUGAGUUAGAGUUUAAUUUUGAAAUUUCUAUUAUAAAGUGUUAAUUAACGUGCGUUGUGUAAAUUUGCACCACUGUAAUCGCUAGGAUUUUUUUUUUUUUUUUUAACUCUUUCGAGGCUCGUGUUACCUUAUCUCUGUAGCUUAGUUCAUUUUUUCAAUGAAUGAAGUAGGUAGCAUGCUAUCUAUUUUUCAAAAAAAAAAAAAAAACGUGCGUUGUGUAAAGAUGAACUCCGCGAACGACUCAAAAGUAUUAUAACUUUUCUUUUGCCAAAAUAGUUUUCUUUUCAAUAAUAGAGGAUAAAACUUAUGAAAAGGACUUAGCUUUAUCUAUUGCGUGACCAAAAAAAUAAAUAAUAAUAAUAAUAAAAGAAAACCACUUAAUACGUAACUUUCGGCUACACUUUUUCAUGCAUGUGAUGAUUGAGACGUAGGACAAGUUGCUACAAUAAAAAUAAGAUAUAUUAUACAACAAGGUUAAAAUGAUUUGUCUAAGAUAAGGUACGUGGUGCAUGAAUAAUGACCACAUAUAUAUAAAGGUACGUGGUGCAUGAAUAAUGACCACACAUAUAUAUAUAUAGCAAGGAAACAAUAUUAAUUGCUAUGACAAUAUAGAGAAAUUAAUGCUUUUGGUUCGUAAAGGUGUGACACUACAACAAAAAUAGUUUAUAGCGACACUUUUAAAUAUAGCUACAUGUCAAAAAAGUGCUGCUAGCUAAAAUUACCGACACUUUUAAAAAGUGUUGCUAUAUGUGAGGUCGCUAGGUAUAUAGUGACAGUUAAAGAGUGUCGUUAUAACCUAAAAGAGUGCUACUAACUUACCAACACUUAUUUAAGUAUUUAGUAACCGCCGAAACGUUAUCUCGUUGGCUGCGGUGGUAAAGAAGGACGACAGAAAAGGCCCUUCGUCUAGAAUUUCAAUGGAUUGAGUGAAGAGAGAAGAAAAGAUGGUAAUUAAUUUUUUUUUUUUCUUUUCUGUUUGUAAUCGGGACAAAUGGACUGGGUGUGGUGAGUUGAGUAGAGUAAUCUUUUAUUUUUUGUUGGAUUGGGCUUUAUAUUCAGGCAUUACUAGAUAUUUUUUUAAGUUUUAGAAUAAAUGAGACACUUACUCAAAAGUGUCCCAAACUUGUGUCCCUAUAACCUAAUUCUGUUGUAGUGUGAUUCAUUAUUGACAUAUUGACAAACUUAAAUGAUAUUUUUGAGUAAGACCGUACUAGUUGAUCAGUAUUUUCUACACGUAUCGCACGUGAUAAUAUAUAAACUAUCAAUAAAAAUAAUUUUUAGAAACUCAGAAUAGCACUCGCGAAUAUACAGAUCAAUAACAAUUUAUGGCUGCACUACAAACAAAAAUACUGAAAAAUUAAAUUACAAGAAACAAACGCUAGCUAGUAAUGAGCUAUUUAUUUAGCUUCGCCGUAAAGUGUAGCACUACUUAAAUAAUACUAUUAAAAAAAAUACUAUAUAAAAUAUUUAAAUAAUUUUGAAUUUCAUAAUUUUUUUUUGUUGUUUUCCAACUUGUUUUUAGAUUUUUUUUUUUUUCAAGUGAUUGGAUUUAAUGGCAAUCAGUUUAACAACUUAAAAAAGUAAAAUACAAUAAAAUAAAAUUAGGGACCUAAAGAACAAAUUGUACUAGGUAAUUAUUGGUACAAUUUGUCCCUCUAAAUUUAAUUAUAAUAGAAAAAGAAUUAAUGAAAGGUCACAUGGCACGAGCGGCUCCUUUUCUCUGCACAUGCAGCUGAUCGUUCCAAUUAUUUUUUUUUAGAAAUAGAUAGAAUGCUAUCUGCUUCAUUCAUUAAGUAAAAUAAACUGAACAUACAAGUUGGAAGCAGCUUAAGCCUCCGGAAAGCCGACAAAAAGAUAAAAUUAGAAAUUAAGCAAAAAGAAAAUCAAUGUAGCAAAAGAAAGUGGAACAGAGGAACAGAGAAGGGGUACAGAAGAGACAUCAGAGCAUCGUGGUCCAAUUGCUGAUUAGUAGUUUCACCCGUUCCAGAGACCCGGUGAUAAUGGGCGGCUUUCCUCUGAAAACAGAGUCGUUUCUAUCCGUCCAGAUGACCCACCACAUCGCAGCUUGCCAUGGUAAUUCUCACAUGAAUCUUUCUCUUUUUUUUUAAAAAAAAUUCUCUUUUUCUUUUCCUUUUUUUGGUUUAUUAGUAGUAGUUUAAGUGCACAUAAAUAUUGGCAUAUUGGCAAUGCAACAAAUAAUACCAAAAAAACCAAAGGGUAAAGUUAAUUCAAAGAAGAUUUUUGUGUGAUUUAGUGACUUGAUUUUAAUUUAUAUUCAUUCUUAUUUUAAGUCUUUACUAUUUACUAUAAUCUUAGAUCGUAUUUGAUCUGAAGCACGUUAAAAAUUCCCUAGGGUUUAUUUUCAUCUACGUUAAAGUUGAUAUAACUUCGUUAAUCAAUAUAAAUUAGUGUUACAUGAACUUAUCAAUAUAUCAGCAAUACAUAAAAUAAUUCAAUUAAUCUACAAAUUCGUAUACAAAAUAUCCUGCAUAUAUAUAGGACGAUCACACCGUCUCAAGUCUAAAUGAACGGUGCGAUCGCACUUUGUGGGCAACUACUUUUCGUAUGAUCAAAUUUGAUGUGCAUGUGUUUGUGGUCAUUAAAGCAUUUUGCAGCUAGAUAGAGACUACAUAACCAUAGUGCAUGUCCCUCUCAAGACUUGUUAAUUUGUUUAAUUUUUCUCAAAAGUGAAAUUCAUAUUAGUGUUCAUGUGAAAAUUACUUUUUUUUUUAUCGUUGUUUACUUCUAUAACUGUUGAAUUAAGUUUUUUCAGUUCUAUUGUCAGUUUGACAAGAUAUAUAUCAAGUGCGCGAAAGCUGAUGUUCUUCGCUUU